GGCGCAGCUGCGCUGCUCCUUGCAUUCGCUCAGCCCGCAGGGCAGGUUGCAGCCUCUCUGCGCAUGGCCAGCUGCCGCCAUCUUGGAUUAAGCUGUCGUUCGCAGUGUCUCUGCACACUGCCCGAGCGGCGUCAGGCGCAGCCAUUUUUCAGGAGGAACUCUUGGUCUGAAGGGCCUGUUUGAGGCCACUGCAUGGAACACCCUUGAGCAAGUGAAACUAGAUUAAUCACAAAGGACAAGAAGGUACAAUUAUAGCCUUGCUCUCUAGCAGUUUAGAAAACAGGAUGUUGGUCAAUAAAAAUGCCAGUUAAAAGUGUCAGAUGGUCUAAAAGAAAACAGAAAAUGUCAGCUGUAUUCAUGGAGACAAUGACCAAGCAUGAGUGGUAAAGAAUCCAUUUGGCAAUGCAGAAGAUGCAAGAGACAUGGAUUUGAUCCCUGGGUCAGGAAGAUCCCCUGGAAUAGGAAAUGGCAACCUGCUCCAGUAUUUUGGCCUGGAGAAUUCCAUGGACAGAGGUGUCUGGUGAGCUACAGUCCUUGGGGUGGCAAACAUUCGCACAAGACUCAGCACGUGCACAUACCCCAAGUAUCACAAGCUUUGUGAUUGUGUUAAUUCCUCUGGGUCUUUUUCUGUCUACCUAUAUCUAUUUGGCUAUCAGGACUGGCCAAAUCUAAUAUUCAAGCCCUUUACUAUAAUAUUUUAUUUAAAUGUGUUUAUAGUAAUUUUAAAAAUCUGUUUAGCUUUUAUGUUGUUUCAUAUAUAAAACAAAAUUAUUUCUUAUAAGUUAUGCUUUUUAUUAUUAUAUAAUAUCCCCCUUUUUUCUGUUUAGGGAUUUUGGACUUAAAUUACAUGUUCCAUGGUACAGUGACACCAUGCCUGCUUUAAGAUGUUGCUCUCCUUUUACAUUUCAUUGUUGCUUGUCCUUCUCCAGCCCUCAUAUAAAAUCAGACAGAUAUUUCCCUAGUAUUUCGUGAAAAGAAGAUGCCAACUUUUCCCCAGCUUUUCCACUGUCACUCCCCACCCAUGAUAUUCAGCUUGAAAAAGACUUCAGUUGAAAUUUCCUCCUUACUCUCCUCCCAAGAGAGGACGACUUGGGAAUAUUUUUGCUUCCUUCUUUCUCAUGCCCCUCCUCACCACAAUUCUUUAGUUUUGCUGAGGUGGUUUAGUUCUUUAAAUUCCAGAUUAUUAUUAAAUUUUCCUUUUUAGUACACUUCUCUAUUUCUAAGCUCUCUAUUUAUAAUAGUUACACAUACUCAGUCCAUCUUGGUCAACCUAUUUUUAAUUAAAUAUCACAAGCUUGUUGCUCACUGUGGCUUUCUCUCCUCUUCAAGUCUGUUUUGUUUGUUGGUUUGUUUUUUAAAAAGUCUUUUUCUAGUAUUUUUACCGGAUGAGUAAUGAGAUGUGUGACUUCUCUGAAUCUUUAUGUAUCUGCAAACACUUUUCUUGUACCCUAAGAGAUGAAAAAUAUUUUUAAGUUGGAAAUAUAUCCCAUUGUCUUCUAGCUUCCUAGUGUUGCAAAAGAAAAUUUCAUGACAGCCUAAUUUUUUCCUUUAUAAACAACUUAAACGUUUCUACACAGAAAGAAUAUGAUUUUUCUCUUUAUC
ensembl:lncRNA